rnacentral:pre_miRNA from 1 species
UGUGUACUCCCUCCAUUCCAAAAUACAUGACUUCCAUUUGUCCAAAAAUAGAUGUACCUAUAUACUAAAACAUGUCUAGAUACAUCUAUAUUUUGACAAAUAGAAGGCAUGUAUUGUGGAAUGGAGGGAGUAGAAU